rnacentral:tRNA from 1 species
GGAGAGAUGGCCGAGCUGGUCGAAGGCGUUCGCCUGCUAAGCGAAUGUAUGUUUAUAAAGAACGUACCGAGGGUUCGAAUCCCUCUCUCUCCGCCA